rnacentral:lncRNA from 1 species
CAACGCUCUACGGCAACGACUACCCCCAGGAAGCGCAACUCAACGGAAGAAAACGAAGGACGGACAGGACAGGCGUGUGCACAGUGGAACAAAUGCACCAAAAAAGCAAAAGAAGAGAAGCCAAUGGGCAAAGGUUUGCUCUACGAUAGUGAUAAUGAUAAUGUUUUGAAUUAGCAAACCAUUUCUAUCAGCAGCAAGACAAAUUUGAAUUUUAUUUAGUCAUUUUCAAGCGACUUUCAUCUUUUUUUCCCCCACAAAUCAUUCCGUCCCCACGUCCCUUCUGGUAUUCCAUGUCCAAAUCUUCCAGAGAAACUUCGUUCUCUUGUUUGCACCUAUAAUCUCGCUGCCCCUUCGUUCGCUACCCACUGUGCGCUGUGUCGAGUGUGCCUCUGGGGGAGGGGAACUCG